UACGUAGGGCGCAAGCGUUGUCCGGAAUUAUUGGGCGUAAAGAGCUCGUAGGCGGCCUGUUGCGUCCGCUGUGAAAUCCCGGGGCUCAACCCCGGGCCUGCAGUGGAUACGGGCUGGCUAGAGGCAGGCAGGGGAGAACGGAAUUCCUGGUGUAGCGGUGAAAUGCGCAGAGUAUCAGGAGGAACACCGGUGGCGAAGGCGGUUCUCUGGGCCUGUACUGACGCUGAGGCUCGAAAGCGUGGGGAGCAAACAGG
rnacentral:rRNA from 1 species